CAUGCAAGUCGAACGGCAGCGCGGGGGCAACCCUGGCGGCGAGUGGCGAACGGGUGAGUAAUAUAUCGGAACGUACCCAAGAGUGGGGGAUAACGUAGCGAAAGUUACGCUAAUACCGCAUACGAUCCAAGGAUGAAAGCAGGGGACCGCAAGGCCUUGUGCUCCUGGAGCGGCCGAUAUCUGAUUAGCUAGUUGGUAGGGUAAAGGCCUACCAAGGCAUCGAUCAGUAGCUGGUCUGAGAGGACGACCAGCCACACUGGAACUGAGACACGGUCCAGACUCCUACGGGAGGCAGCAGUGGGGAAUUUUGGACAAUGGGCGCAAGCCUGAUCCAGCAAUGCCGCGUGAGUGAAGAAGGCCUUCGGGUUGUAAAGCUCUUUUGUCAGGGAAGAAACGGUUGUGGCUAAUAUCCGCAACUAAUGACGGUACCUGAAGAAUAAGCACCGGCUAACUACGUGCCAGCAGCCGCGGUAAUACGUAGGGUGCAAGCGUUAAUCGGAAUUACUGGGCGUAAAGCGUGCGCAGGCGGUUUUGUAAGUCUGUCGUGAAAUCCCCGGGCUCAACCUGGGAAUGGCGAUGGAGACUGCAAGGCUAGAAUCUGGCAGAGGGGGGUAGAAUUCCACGUGUAGCAGUGAAAUGCGUAGAGAUGUGGAGGAACACCG
rnacentral:rRNA from 1 species